CCCGGUGGUUCUUGCGGUGGGCCCCAACCCGAUCCCAUUCCGAACUCGGCCGUUAAACCCGCCAGCGCCAAUGGUACUAUGUCUCAAGACCUGGGAGAGUAGGUCGCCGCCGGGC
rnacentral:rRNA from 1 species